AGGUACCCGAAGAGUCGGACGUUUAACUAACUGAGGCACCCAGGCACCCCAUCCUUUGAAUGGGGUUUUUUCUUUUUUGUUUGAAUUUGCGAGAGUCGUUUAUGUAUCCUAGAAACUGGACCCGAAUCGCAUAUGAUUUGCACGUGUUUUCCCCUAUUCUGUAGGUUGUCUUUCCACUUUGUUGACAGUGCUCUUUGAUGCACAUGAAAUUUUUAUCUUCAUGCAGUCCUGUCUGUUUUUUUUUUUUUUUUUUUCUGUUGUUGCCUGUGCUUUGGGCAUGACAGCUAAGGAUCCAUUGGCAGAUCCAAGGUUACAAAGAUUUACUCCUUUUCACUCUUAUAUUUAGGUCUUAUAGAGUUCAUCUUUGUACAGGGUGUGAGGUGGGAGUUCAACUUCAUUCUCCUUCAUAUACACUAAUAGCCCCAAGGUGUGAAGCGGUGUCUUCAAUGUCCACGGACUGUCCAGUAGCAAGCACUCCAAAACACGGUGAAAGCUCUGUGGAUGGGAGCACCCGGCCAGCACUCUGUCCCUGUCAGCCUGGCACCCCCGGGGGUCGGAGCCUGGGCCUGUCCAGCAGGAACUAUAGUGAAGAGCUUGGCCCCCCCAGGAGCAAGCCCUUGCUGGCCCCCACGUCUGCUGCUGACUGGUGCCUAUCUGGGCUCCCAGCGAUCUUAGCCUACGGACGUCUAGGGUCCCCUGCCCCACGGUGGUUCCUGCAGUUUGAUAGGCUGACCCUUUGGCCACUUUGUGCCUCCUUGACGUCACCCACCUGUAAUCUGCCCUGUGCGCAUCAGAGCUGUGUCCCAUCCCUACCAAAAGGAGGCCCUGGCUUCUGUGAGUCUGAGGUUUACCCUGUGAUUCCUGCUCACAACUGCUCUCAGAGCUACCUGGAGCCAGGCCCGGGCUCCUCUCUGUCCCGUCAUCUCCUAUAACUCAUAUUUUCUCAGAGGGCAUUUUGGAUUCCUUGGAAAAAAUCCUUCUGAUGUUUUUUCUCCACUUUGAAUAAACUGAUCUUUUGAUGGCUCAA